UACAGAGGGUGCGAGCGUUAAUCGGAGUUACUGGGCGUAAAGGGCGCGUAGGCGGUUUAAUAAGAUUGAUGUGAAAGCCCUGGGCUUAACCUAGGAGCUGCAUCGAUGUCUGUUAAGCUAGAGUAUUGUAGAGGGUAGUGGAAUUUCCGGUGUAGCGGUGAAAUGCGUAGAGAUCGGAAGGAACACCAGUGGCGAAGGCGGCUACCUGGACAAAUACUGACGCUGAGGCGCGAGAGCGUGGGGAGCAAACAGG
rnacentral:rRNA from 1 species